GAGUCUCGCUCUGUCACCCAGGCUGGAGUGCAGUGGCGCUAUCUCGGCUCACUGCAAGCUCCACCUCCUGAGUUCACGCCAUUCUCCUGCCUCAGCCUCCCGAGUAGCUAGGACUGCUGAUCUCUGUAAGUCUUUAGAUUCCUGCAAAGUUCUGUGCAAUGAAUAAGAGUUCCUGUUUCUCCACAUCCUUGCCAGCAUUUGAUGUUGUCAGUGUUCUGGAUUUCAGCCACUCUAACAGCACCCCACAAAAAAAAGUCCUGGAGCCUGAACUAUGAUUAAAUGUAAUAUACUGCAUGCCAAUGAUUUUGAGCAUAAGAUGCAAUCAGUGUAUGAUAAGCUACCGAUCACCCCAAGGGUGAGUCUUCUUCAGCUGGUGUUAUUUUGUUUUGUUUUUAACUUUUUUAAAAUUAUUACUAUUAAAUGCUUAGGAAAAAGUAUUAUUUUUCCCAAUAAGAGCAGUGUAAAAACUGUUCUGACCUAUGUGAUUUACCAUAAUUAAUAAGCCAAUUUUAACUAAGAAAAAUUUAAAAUAAAACCUAUUGCUGAAGCAAGAUGAGAAAAUCUGACAAAAUUCUAACAGCUGCCCUGGAUAAAAGACACAACUAAUUAGUCUGGGUAAAUCCCCUUUUGUUAAUUAUUUUAAUAAUUACCUGAUGAUAAAC
rnacentral:lncRNA from 10 species